rnacentral:rRNA from 1 species
UACGAAGGGGGCUAGCGUUGCUCGGAAUCACUGGGCGUAAAGGGUGCGUAGGCGGGUCUUUAAGUCAGGGGUGAAAUCCUGGAGCUCAACUCCAGAACUGCCUUUGAUACUGAGGAUCUUGAGUUCGGGAGAGGUGAGUGGAACUGCGAGUGUAGAGGUGAAAUUCGUAGAUAUUCGCAAGAACACCCGUGGCUAAGGCGGCUCUCUAGUAUGGUACUGACGCUGAGACGCGAAAGCGUGGGGAGCGAACAGG